rnacentral:rRNA from 1 species
AUUGAACGCUGGCGGCAGGCCUAACACAUGCAAGUCGAACGAGUGGCGGACGGGUGAGUAAUGCUUGGGAAACUGCCUGAUGGAGGGGGAUAACUACUGGAAACGGUAGCUAAUACCGCAUACCAUUGGAUGUGCCCAGAUGGGAUUAGCUAGUUGGUGGGGUAACGGCUCACCAAGGCGACGAUCCCUAGUUGGUCUGAGAGGAUGACCAGCCACACUGGAACGGAGGCACGGACCAGACGCCUACGUGAGGCAGCAGUGGGGAAUAUUGGACAAUGGGCGCAACCCUGAUCCAGCCAUGCCGCGAGUAGGAAGAAGGCCUUCGGGUUGUAAAGUACUUUCAGCAGGGAGGCGUUACCGGCAGAAGAAGCACCGGCUAACUCCGUGCCAGCAGCCGCGGUAAUUC